rnacentral:pre_miRNA from 1 species
UCUUAUGAAUGCGCAAAGAAAGCGGUUUCUUGAGAUGGAAUCUCCUCCUUGUGAAGAUGCUUUGAA